rnacentral:rRNA from 1 species
GAUGAACGCUGACAGAAUGCUUAACACAUCAGCAAUGGAUUGGUUGCGGACGGGUGAUUAACGCGUAGAGAGCUUGCCUCACAUCUCGGGACAACAUUUAGAAAUGAAUGCUAAUACACGAUACUGUGAGAGAGCUUUGCGUUCCAUUAGCUAGUUGGAGAGGUAACAGAGCACCAAGGCGAGGAUGGGUAGCCGGCCUGCGAGGGUGAACGGCCACAAGGGGACUGAGACACGGCCCUUACUCAUACGGGAGGAAGCAGUGGGGAAUAUUGGAAAAUGGACCGAAGUGUGAUCAAGCAAUUCGGUGUGCACGACGCAGUUUUCGGAAUGUAAAGUGAUUUCAGUUGGGAAGCGGUACCAACAGAAGAAGUGACGGCUAAAUACGUGCCAGCAGCCGCGGUAAUUC